rnacentral:tRNA from 1 species
GCCGGUCGUCUAGUCUGGUUAGGAUAUCUGCCUGACAAGUGAUGUACGGUCCCCGGUUCAAAUCCGGGCCGGC